rnacentral:piRNA from 1 species
UAGCUUUGUGAGUGUGACCUUCAUUGAGA